rnacentral:lncRNA from 1 species
UCAAAAACCCAGAUAAGGUGUUCCUGAAACUGGACCACCAUGGAGAAUGGGGACUGGUAAUUGGGGAUCAAACUUGGGGGAACUGUUGGGUUAGGUAAUGCCCCCCACACAUAUACACAAAGUAAUAGCUUAUGGAGGGACUGCUCGGUCUGGGAUAGGAGCCCUUCAGAAGGAUCCACUGUAUACAGCUGGGAUUUUGGUAAGCUUUGAUUAAAUUCAGAGGGAUGGAUGUCAUGGGGAAAAAAACAAACAAACAAGCCUGGGAGUCUCCCCAGCCAGCCUGUUCCCUGGACGCUCAAUUACUUUACUCUAUG